CGCGGGGUGGAGCAGCUCGGUAGCUCGCUGGGCUCAUAACCCAGAGGUCGCAGGUUCAAAUCCUGCCCCCGCCA
rnacentral:tRNA from 2 species